rnacentral:rRNA from 1 species
UGAAUACGAGAUGCUACGGCGUCGAAGCAGUCUAUGUCAUACUUCCAAGAAAAGCUUGCACUGUCAUAAACAAAUAAUGCCUGUACCAUAACCGACACAGGUGGGUAGGUAGAGUAUACUAAGGGGCGCGAGAUAACUCUCUCUAAGGAACUCGGCAAAAUGACUCCGUAACUUCGGGAGAAGGAGUGCCUUAUUUUAUAAGGUUGCAAUAACAAGAUCCAAGCAACUGUUUACCAAAAACACAGGUCUCCGCUAAGUCGUAAGACGAUGUAUGGGGGCUGACGCCUGCCCAGUGCCAGAAGGUUAAAGAAGUUGGUUAGCAUUCGCGAAGCUGAUAACUGAAGCCCUGGUGAACGGCGGCCGUAACUAUAACGGUCCUAAGGUAGCGAAAUUCCUUGUCGGGUAAGUUCCGACCCGCACGAAAGGCGUAAUGAUUUGGAUACUGUCUCAGAGAGGGGCUCGGUGAAAUAGACUUGUCUGUGAAGAUGCGGACUACCUGCACCAGGACAGAAAGACCCUAUGAAGCUUUACUGUAACUUGAAAUUGAAAUUGGACUUUACUUGCGCAGUAUAGGUGGGAGGCGUUGAGAAUAUUCUUGCGGGAAUGUUGGAGCCAUCAGUGAGAUACCACUCUUGUAAUGUUAGAUUUCUAACUUUGUAUCAUUAUCUGGUCAAAGGACAGUUUCAGGCGGGCAGUUUGACUGGGGCGGUCGCCUCCCAAACGGUAACGGAGGCGCACAAAGGUUUCCUCUGAACGGGUAGAAAUCGUAUCUAGAGUGUAAAGGCAUAAGGAAGCUUGACUGUGAGACCUACAAGUCGAGCAGGGACGAAAGUCGGUCUUAGUGAUCUGACGGUGCUGAGUGGAAAGGCCGUCACUCAACGGAUAAAAGUUACUCUAGGAUAACAGGCUGAUCUCCCCCAAGAGUUCACAUCGACGGGGAGGUUUGGCACCUCGAUGUCGGCUCAUCGCAUCCUGGGGCGGUAGUACGUCCCAAGGGUUGGGCUGUUCGCCCAUGAAAGCGGUACGCGAGCUGGGUUCAGAACGUCGUGAGACAGUUCGGUCCAUAUCCGGUGUAGGCGUUAGAAUAUUGAGAGGAGCCUUCUUUAGUACGAGAGGACCGAGAAGGACAUACCUCUGGUGUACCAGUUAUCGUGCCAACGGUAAACGCUGGGUAGCUAUGUAUGGAGUGGAUAACCGCUGAAAGCAUCUAAGUGGGAAGCCCACCUCAAGAUAAGUAUUC